GUUAUAAUAAUUUAAAAAAAAAUAAUGGUUUUGUAAACCAAAUUUGAAAUUUUCUUAUAAUU
rnacentral:tRNA from 1 species